ensembl:lncRNA
CGCCCAUCUACAUAUGAAUACAAGAACGAGGAAGUGUAGUUGUACAGUGCUGUAACUCUUGCUUACCGAGCAGGUUAAACCGUCAACAUGGCAAAUACAGGUAAGUACAUUCAUUCUACAACUUCUACUACAUUUCAUUUUCACCAACACAGCACGAUGCUUAUGUCAAGUAAAACCGUGACUAAUAUUGCAUUAGCGCUAUGCAUUACCGGCUAUGCAUUAUCAGUGAUACCUGAUUUGGGAUUAAAGAAUAAGAUCAAAGCUUUCUGUGUCCUUGGAACACUGCCUGUAUCCUUAACUCUGCUCAGGUUCAUAAUUAGUACACAUUAGUGAUAUUUUUUAGACUACAAAUGUUGCAGUUAUCAUGGCCCGUGUUACUUUUUAUCCUUGUCUUUAUAGUCUUUGGUGAAUUUAUACUGCUGUAAUUGUUUUUUUCCAUCAGUUGUUUUUCCCUGAUAUUAUAAGUGAUCCCUGAAGAUUAGUGACGUCAGAGCAUAAUGACUUGCAGUUUUUGCCAAUUGGGGUUUUAUAGAUAUGGUGAAAUCACUGUUUUACAGAAUGACACACUGCUCACUUUAAAGUUAGAUAUACUCCAGAAUAACCAUUGUGUUCUUAAUACAAUGUAGAUUUCUGCAUAUUACUGUAUUUACAAAUCGUCCCCAUCAAAGAGCCUGCGUUUCCUGUUUUUCAGGCUGGCCAUGCAGGAGCUUGGGUUUGUAAAGUGGAAGAAAACAACAAACAAAAAAACUGUAAAGUGAAAAAUAAAAACUGUAAAGUGAAAAAAUAUUCUGGUGACUCCUUAAGCACAGAUUUGUUUUAUGAACAUGAUCCAACUAAUCAAAUAUUAGACUCAUUGUUCAAAUGUGUACAAUAAUAUUUUGGACACAUUACAUUUACAUUUAUUCAUUUAGCAGACGCUUUUAUCCAAAGCGACUUACAAAUGAGGAUUUACAUCACAUUAGGUCCGAUUAUUUAUACAUUUAUACAUUCUUUAUAGACAUGCUUGUUCAUGAGUUAUUGAGGUUUUGGGUUAAGAACAUUGAAUUAAGGCUAAUAACUAUAAGGAAUAUAAUAAUAGUUUUGAUAAUCGUAGCCUUGUUUGUGAUUUCUACCACUGUAAAAAAAAUAAUAAAUAAAUCACAGACUCCUUUGGCUAUGCUUUGAGACCCCACUUUGAGAACCACUGUUUCGCAGCUAAGCAAGACUCUGCAUGUCUUUUUUUUAAAUAUAUUUCUAGAUAAAGUUAUCUCCUACAGCGAUCUCAAAUCCCUCAAAGAGAAAAGUAAAGACCUUCUGCUUGUGGAUGUGCGCUCCAAAGAUGAAGUGGACAGAGGACACAUCCCAGGCUCCAUCCAUGUCCCAGGUGAGUUACAGAGCAAUAAACUGUAAUACUGCCCAGUACUAGCACAGUUAUUAAUUCAUUACUAAAGGAAUGUUACCUUUUAUAAUUAAUACCUAUCUACAGAGGUGUUCAAGAUUUAUUUUGGAAUGGUUUUCUUAAUCGACUAUUUUGUAAUUCUUCUUUCACAUACAUGUUGACCUGUUUUCAUUGUUCAAGUGGCUUUAUUGUCAUUUCAACCAUAUACAAUUGGUAAAGUACACAGUGAAACUAAACAACGUUCCUCCAGGACCAUGGUGCUACAUAAAACAAUACAUAGCUAAAUAAGACUACAAAGACAUGCACAGGACUACAUAAAGACAAGACAGUACAGCGAUUACUAAACAAGGACACGAGGCACAGUAAAGGACGGUGCAUAAACAUAACAUAGUAACUAGCCGCAAGAACGCAAGUGUUCAAUAACAUGAACUCAAAAUGUAAGUUUCGUGGCUUUUAGUAUGAAUAUGUUAGCCUUAAGGAUAUCUAUAAGCUGGUGUGCUCCAGAACAAUAACAAAAUUCGCAGUCUCUGUAUGCCACCAAUACGGAUCAACACUCCUGAUGACAUCAUUAUGCACUUCAGUUUCUCAACAGAUUUUCUGUCCAAUCAAAUGCUCUCUAAAAUCUGAAGUGUCCCGCCCCCAACAUUAUAAAAAUCCAUGGUACUAACUGUCAAGUAUGGUUUAGCCCUGGCUGUGAGGUAAGCUAAAUAUUACUGGUUAUUUAAAAGGGGGGAGGGCCCACUCGAUAUGGCCGACCCUGGCUUCCUGUUUCAGUGAAAAUUACGUCAACAUAUCGAAUAAUGCUGUUUGUUUCAAGGCACUUUACGGGGACUUUAAGAAAGAAAUGUGCAAAAAAUGCAGAAGUAGUGGAAUGGUGUUCAGCUGAGUGUGUGUGUGUGUGUGUGUGUGUGUGUGUGUGUGUGUCUGUGUGUCUGUGUGUCUGUGUGUCUGUGCGUGUGUGUGUGUGUGAGUUGGUGUUGAUCCAGUCUCUGGGUAUUGAGGAAUCUGAUGGCUUGGGGGAGAAAAAAAUGAUCAGGCUCUGAAACGUCAACUGUCAUUAAUUUUCAUCUCAACUACUAACUAGCCAAGCCGAGUCUCUGUAACUGUUCCCUUCCUAUUACUUCUUACCUUCUUACCUUCCCCCUACAUCUGUUAUAUUUCCAUUAAUACGGCACUGAACGUCACUGGAAAAUUCUGAAUGAGAAAAGAAGCUCUUGUUCUUUUUUUGCUCUUUUUAUUAAACAUCCCCACAACAUCCCCCUGUGAUGUCAGUGUGACAGACAACCACUAACUUCUCACAGAAAUGAAUCAAAAUACAGCAUCAACCAAAAAACGUUAGUACAAGAAUAGCUAAGCAUAUCAUAAAUAUUUCAGUGUAAACAUGUUUAAUGUGUUUCAUGGUGGACUUGUCUUUUAAUAAGAUACUAUUAUUAACCCAUGAUUACUGUAUACCAUGUCCUUACUGUGUCUUGUAGUGGAAAAUGUGGAAAAGGAAUUCUCUUUGGAUGAACAUGCUUUUCAAGAGAAAUUCGGUGUCCCCAAGCCCCUUCUGGAUAGCCAUGAACUGGUGUUCCACUGCCAAAUGGGACGGCGUGGAGACACUGCUACAGAGAAAGCCAGAAGCCUCGGCUUCAUCAAGUAUGAUCAGGAUUAAAUGUGUUAUUGUGUUAGCAGCUAAGGACAGUCCAUACAGGAUUUUGUGAUUUUGUUUUUUGUGAUUGUUGCGGCCAAAAAUGCUUGAUUUUGCUGAGUGUUUUUUGAAGUUUCUUUGUGCUUUUUUGCAGAAAACUGAAUUGGUGAAAUUUAUAAGCUCCUGCUAAUAUUGCAGUUUCCUUGAUUUCUGCGAUCGCAAAAUUCUGGAGGGACUGUAAUACUGUCAGUGUUUAUAGAAACAUGGGUCAUACUGGAAAACCUUGUUUUCACUGAUAAUUUCCUGACUUAUAUAGUCACUGUGUGUGUGUGUGUGUGUGUGUGUGUGUGUGUGUGUGCGCGCGCGUGUGUGUGUGCGUGCCCCCCCCCCCCCCCCCUCUCUCUCUCUCUCCAGUGCACAGAACUAUGCAGGAGGUUACAAGGAAUGGUCAGAGAAGGAAGGCAAAUGAUGCUGCUUCCGCACACAGCUCCAGGACAUCUAAUAGAGUAGUUUUAGUGACAUUUGGACAAUGUUCAUCUCACAGGAUUGUCAACCAUGUGUAGCUCAGUCAAACUGUAUAAUAUAGAUAUUUAUCUAAAAUAUGUGUGUGUGUAUAUAUAUAUAUAUAUAUAUAUAUAUAUAUAUAUAUAUAUAUAUAUAUAUAUAUAUAUAUAUAUACACACACACACACAUACAUACAUAUAUAUAUUUAUAUAUAUAUAUAUAUAUAUAUAUAUAUAUAUAUAUAUAUAUAUAUAUAUAUAUAUAUAUAUAAACACCCCUAAAUAUAUUUCACUUAUUAGAUCUUUAAAUUUGAAUAACUCAGGAAUUUGUAAUCGUGCAAUUUUAAAAUUUGUACUAUUGUACUAAACCCAUACAAAUGUUCAAAUUAAUUUUUGUAAAAAAAAAUAAAUAAAAAUCAUGGGGUUGAAGACGACCAGUGCCUUUGUUUUUUUUUUGUUUGUUUUUUUUGUUUGUUUUUUUUUUGUUUGUAAACUGUAGCGUUAUCUUUUGUAUGUUUUCAUCUGUUUUCCUUCCGCGGUGCGGUUGCUGUUUUGCGCAUGCGCACAAACGUCUAGCCUGUUAAAAUGUAACUUGUAAAAGUAACAAGGGUAUAUGCUGCUUUUCGUGAAGUAGAUUGUUCAUUUAUAUUGUUACAGUGGCCGACAUCAGAAAGAUGGACAUUUACUUUGCUCUGUGUUCUUCUUUCAGGUAAUAACAUGCUUUGACCAUGUCACAAAUCACUUUUUAUUUUAUUUACGAAACUGAACGCUGUUUUACCGUUAAUUCAAUUCACACACGGUUAUGAACGUCACUCCAAAAUGUCAUUUAGUAACUGUUUCCUCUUGUAAGUUGUGUGAAGACUGUGGAUCAAUUAAACAUGUCCUUCAUGCUGUGUGCUUGGUGUGGUUGUCGGUUGUGUACUCACUACACAGUGUUCCUCUCUGGGUGGCGCCAUUACUGCACGCCGCGUCCAGACUGAAGGGUGACCCGGCCAGGCGGAGGAAAGCCUACCGCCUCAUCCAGCGGAGAUUACUGCAUCACGGUGUUGGAUGCGACAAGCUGCACAAACCCACGUACAUUUAUCCGGCUGAAGUGAAGCAGCUGAUCCGCGCCGCCUUCCCUAAGGAAAUCUGUGACUAUCACGACCCGCAACAUCAAAACGUGGUCGCUGUCACCAUGGAUGACCUAAAGGGUGUGAGUUCGGCUGAUCAGAGCUGUUAGACAGACCAGGAGCAAAUCUAACAACUGUUAUCAUUUGUGUGAAAUGUUAAUGUUAACGUUACAUUUGUUUUUGAUCAAUGCAAUCUUGUUUCCCCUGUGCAUGUUGACUGGUUUUCAAUAAAGUUUCAAUAAAGUUGAUUAGAAUAUAUAUAUAUAUAUAUAUAUAUAUAUAUAUAUAUAUAUAUAUAUAUAUAUACACACACACACACACACACACACACACACACACACACACACACAGCAAAAUCACUAGUAUUGAUUUAACACCCAAAGUGUUGAAUUCACACCGACAGUGUUUAUAUGAGUCCAUUGGACUCAUAUAAACACUCUGGGUGUUAAUUCAACACUAGGGAUUUUACUGUGUGUGUGUGUGUGUGUGUGUGUAUAUAUAUAUAUAUAUAUAUAUAUAUAUAUAUAUAUAUAUAUAUAUAUAUAUAUAUAUAUAUAUAUAUAUAUAUAUAUGCUAGAUUUGAAGUGUUGAUGAGUUAAACUAUUAACAACUGGACCAUAGGCCUGUAGUUUAGGGGUGAGUGAGAACUGAUGGUGGCUUUAACCCUUUAAAGCAUAAAUUAUUUAAAUACACGUACAUUCUUUUUUUAAUUAUUAUU